rnacentral:rRNA from 1 species
CUCGUAGGCGGCCAACUAAGUCGGACGUGAAAUCCCCAGGCUCAACCUGGGAACUGCGUCCGAUACUGGAUGGCUUGAAUCCGGGAGAGGGAUGCAGAAUUCCAGGUGUAGCGGUGAAAUGCGUAGAUAUCUGGAGGAAUACCGGUGGCGAAGGCGGCAUCCUGGACCGGCAUUGACGCUGAGGAGCGAAAGCCAGGGAGCAAACG